UGGGGAAUUUUGGACAAUGGGGGCAACCCUGAUCCAGCAAUGCCGCGUGUGUGAAGAAGGCCUUCGGGUUGUAAAGCACUUUUGUCCGGAAAGAAAACGCCGUGGUUAAUACCCGUGGCGGAUGACGGUACCGGAAGAAUAAGCACCGGCUAACUACGUGCCAGCAGCCGCGGUAAUACGUAGGGUGCAAGCGUUAAUCGGAAUUACUGGGCGUAAAGCGUGCGCAGGCGGUCCGCUAAGACAGAUGUGAAAUCCCCGGGCUUAACCUGGGAACUGCAUUUGUGACUGGCGGGCUAGAGUAUGGCAGAGGGGGGUUAGAAUUCCACGUGUAGCAGUGAAAUGCGUAGAGAUGUGGAGGAAUACCGAUGGCGAAGGCAGCCCCCUGGGCCAAUACUGACGCUCAUGCACGAAAGCGUGGGGGAGCAAACAGGAUUAGAUACCCUGGUAGUCCACGCCCUAAACGAUGU
rnacentral:rRNA from 1 species